AUUGAACGCUGGCGGCAUGCUUUACACAUGCAAGUCGAACGGUAACAGGCCGCAAGGUGCUGACGAGUGGCGAACGGGUGAGUAAUGCAUCGGAACGUGCCCAGUCGUGGGGGAUAACGCAGCGAAAGCUGUGCUAAUACCGCAUACGAUCUAUGGAUGAAAGCGGGGGACCGUAAGGCCUCGCGCGAUUGGAGCGGCCGAUGUCAGAUUAGGUAGUUGGUGGGGUAAAGGCUCACCAAGCCAACGAUCUGUAGCUGGUCUGAGAGGACGACCAGCCACACGGGGACUGAGACACGGCCCAGACUCCUACGGGCGGCAGCAGUGGGGAAUUUUGGACAAUGGGCGCAAGCCUGAUCCAGCAAUGCCGCGUGCAGGAAGAAGGCCUUCGGGUUGUAAACUGCUUUUGUACGGAACGAAAAGGUUUGGGUUAAUACCCUGGGCCGAUGACGGUACCGUAAGAAUAAGCACCGGCUAACUACGUGCCAGCAGCCGCAGUAAGAC
rnacentral:rRNA from 1 species